rnacentral:rRNA from 1 species
UACGUAGGGGGCAAGCGUUGUCCGGAAUUAUUGGGCGUAAAGAGCGCGUAGGCGGUCCGGUAAGUCGGCUGUGAAAGUCAAGGGCUCAACCCUUGAAAGCCGGCCGAUACUGUCGGACUAGAGUCCGGAAGAGGCGAGUGGAAUUCCCGGUGUAGCGGUGAAAUGCGCAGAUAUCGGGAGGAACACCAAUGGCGAAGGCGACUACCUGGCCUGUUUCUUGACGCUGAGGCGCGAAAGCUAGGGGAGCAAACGGG